rnacentral:piRNA from 1 species
UACAUACAUGUGUGAGUGCGUCUAUACA